UGGCGUGAAUAAAUAGAAGAUGUUAUUAAAAAUAUUAAACCUUUAGUUCAAAUAGUAAACAUAAGUGGUCAUAACAGGUCUCCUUCCUAGAGACCACAUGAUGGUGAGAAAGAGAGGAAUCAUUGCCAUUAACAAUGAUUGACAAAGAGGUCAUGGUAAGACAUCCCCGAAUCCAAUUGUUCCAUUGAUUAGAGAAGCCAAGAUGAUGCAUAAGAGAAAAUAGAAAUGGUCAUUCGACGUAGGCCUUCUUCAUAUUCAGUUUGAGUGUCAUGAAAUAUUGUUUUCCUUUCUUUUUGUUGGGGCGCAGCGGACGAGAAUAGAGUAAAUAUAUUGCACUAAUAAACCACACACCGUAAAUAUUUCCCAGGUAAGUUGGAAGUGGCGGUAGUCCGCCACACUUAAAAUCACUAUGGAUGGGUGAUUACCACCGCAAUACCAUAAUGACGAUAAUUAAGCCAACCUCCUUAGACCAAUUUACUGUGGUAAUAUUAAUAAUGCAAUAUAUAACGAAUAUUCUCGAAAUUGCCAAGCACAAAACAGUAAGUAAAUAACACCGGGAUUUACGUAGUUCCCCUCCAAUGCGGAGAGUACAUCUACGGCAGCAGCGACAGCUACGAGCACUUCUUCACUAUAACAAGGUAGCUACAAG
rnacentral:lncRNA from 1 species